rnacentral:tRNA from 1 species
GGGGAUAUAGCUCAGCUGGUAGAGCGCCGCCCUUGCA